rnacentral:rRNA from 1 species
AGAGUUUGAUCAUGGCUCAGAUUGAACGCUGGCGGCAGGCUUAACACAUGCAAGUCGAGCGGGGAAAAGUAGCUUGCUACUUAACUUAGCGGCGGACGGGUGAGUAAUACUUAGGAAUCUGCCUAUUAGUGGGGGACAACAUUUCGAAAGGAAUGCUAAUACCGCAUACGUCCUACGGGAGAAAGCAGGGGAUCACUUGUGACCUUGCGCUAAUAGAUGAGCCUAAGUCGGAUUAGCUAGUUGGUGGGGUAAAGGCCUACCAAGGCGACGAUCUGUAGCGGGUCUGAGAGGAUGAUCCGCCACACUGGGACUGAGACACGGCCCAGACUCCUACGGGAGGCAGCAGUGGGGAAUAUUGGACAAUGGGGGGAACCCUGAUCCAGCCAUGCCGCGUGUGUGAAGAAGGCCUUUUGGUUGUAAAGCACUUUAAGCGAGGAGGAGGCUACUCUAGUUAAUACCUAGAGAUAGUGGACGUUACUCGCAGAAUAAGCACCGGCUAACUCUGUGCCAGCAGCCGCGGUAAUACAGAGGGUGCGAGCGUUAAUCGGAUUUACUGGGCGUAAAGCGUGCGUAGGUGGCCAAUUAAGUCAAAUGUGAAAUCCCCGAGCUUAACUUGGGAAUUGCAUUCGAUACUGGUUGGCUAGAGUAUGGGAGAGGAUGGUAGAAUUCCAGGUGUAGCGGUGAAAUGCGUAGAGAUCUGGAGGAAUACCGAUGGCGAAGGCAGCCAUCUGGCCUAAUACUGACACUGAGGUACGAAAGCAUGGGGAGCAAACAGGAUUAGAUACCCUGGUAGUCCAUGCCGUAAACGAUGUCUACUAGCCGUUGGGGUCUUUGAGACUUUAGUGGCGCAGCUAACGCGAUAAGUAGACCGCCUGGGGAGUACGGUCGCAAGACUAAAACUCAAAUGAAUUGACGG